rnacentral:lncRNA from 1 species
CAGCUAUUGCAGUGGGGUAGAUCACAACCAAGUCCUUGAUCACAGGCUGCAGAGAGGAAGGAGAUGUCAGGGUGCCAAUUUACAAAUGAUGAAUAACAUUCUACACUUCCACAUGAGGGCUGGGUGUGUUGUCACAGUCUCCUAAAGCUGACACAGGGGCACACGAGCCCAGAUGCAUCCCAUCUAAGUCACGGAAUUUAUCUGAGGCAUCUAAACUAGGAGCUUACUUAACGUUGCCCUCAUGUCUAAUUAGAGAGUAUGAGCACAUCUGGAAGAUGCUGUCACUCAAGAAGGACAUGUGAUCUUCUAAAACUGCAACAAUCCUGACCCCCAAAGCUUGAUUUGAUGCAUCUCAUACAAAUCCACCCCAUGGAUCUGACAACUGCCUGCGAUUCUUUCUAAUUGAAGCAGAGAUCAUUGAAAAGUCUCAGAAGACAAAACUUACCUGAAUUAAGAUGUCAGAUAUCCUAGCAUUUGGGAAUUAUGCCAGUGGUAAUAGAGUUGUAGUAUUUUCUGCUGUGGACACAGAAGAAAAACUCCCAGAGAAAAACACCAGAGCCAGCCAAUAAAGUUCAUCAUCCUUUUCACAGUCAUACCUGCACACUUCUUUCCAGUUCACCUCCUGCAGGACAACUUCAGAUAACUCCUGAAACUCAGGUCAGUCUGCCCCUCCAGAAUUAAAGUGCCUCUGGUUUGAGAUGAACAAAAUUCAACUCAGCAUAAACAGCAACUCUUGGAGUUGUUACUGUGUUACCUUAAUUUCCUUACUGGAGAAGUAAAAAUACAAUAAUGUAUGGAAUGUUUGCA